rnacentral:rRNA from 1 species
CGGAACUGGGGAAUAACUGCCCGAUAAGGUGGCUAAUACCGCAUGUCGUCCGUGAUUCUAUUCACCUUCUAAAAGAGCUAUUCACUUCCAGAGGGGUCUGCGACCAAUUACCUAUUUGGUGGGGUAACGGCUCUCUCACGCGACUAUCAGCAGCUGGUCUGACAGGAUGAUCAGGCCCACUGGGACUGAAAACCGUCCACACUCCUAUCGGAGGUAUCACUCGGGAAUUUUGCCCAGUGGACAAAUGUCUGAUGCAGCCUCUCCACGAGAGGGAUGAAGGCUCUCGGAUUUUAAACCUCUUUUCUCAAGGA